GCGGGCAGAGCCGGGGGGCGCGUGCCGCCGCGGGGCGGGGGCCGGGGCCGAGCUGGCCGGGGCC
rnacentral:miRNA from 1 species